AUGAAACAACUUGGCAACCUAUGCAUUCUGAAGAUUGCAGUGGAUGGACUGUCAGUAAAUGAUGUUCGUAUUCUUAGAGGGUUGCGUUGCCUCACUGCUCUGUCGUUGUGUGUGGAGAAGUCGCCUGAUAUUAAGAUAAUCUUUGGCACGGCUGCUGGAUUCACAACUCUCAAGUACUUGAAGCUGAGGUUCCUGAGUGAAAUAGCUUGGCUAAGAUUUGAGAUGGACGCAAUGCCUAAUCUCCGGAAGCUCAGGCUUGUUUUUGACGCCAUCCCCCAAAUGGACCAACGACUUGAACUUUUUUCGGAGUCUGAGCAGUGGAAACAAUAUCGACAUGGUACUGCAUUAAUCAGCAUCGAGCAUAUAACAGGCCUUACAGAGGUCUCCGCAAAAUUUGUGGGUGCAGCUGCUGAUCUAGAGUAUGUAUCGAGGAUCGGUGUAGUUAGCAAUCAUCCGGGCAAUAGUUAUUCACUUCAUGCUAAAUGA
rnacentral:rRNA from 1 species